CGCGGGGUGGAGAAGUCUGGUAUCUCACCGGGCUCAUAACCCGGAGACCACAGGUUCAAAUCCUGUCCCCGCUA
rnacentral:tRNA from 2 species